rnacentral:rRNA from 1 species
UACGUAGGGGGCAAGCGUUGUCCGGAAUCAUUGGGCGUAAAGCGCGUGUAGGCGGUCCGGUAAGUCCGCUGUGAAAGUCGGGGGCUCAACCCUCGGAUGCCGGUGGAGUACUGUCGGGCUUGAGUACGGAAGAGGCGAGUGGAAUUCCUGGUGUAGCGGUGAAAUGCGUAGAUAUCGGAAGGAACAUCAGUGGCGAAAGCGACUUCCUGGACCAAUACGUGACGCUCAUGUGCGAAAGCGUGGGGAGCAAACAGGG